rnacentral:lncRNA from 1 species
AGUGGAGACUGUAAAGAGAUAUGUACGGACAGAAAAUAAUUAUCCUAUUGGUAUCAAUAAAGUAACUUCGUGAAUAGAAAAUGAAUAUUUAUGGAAAUUUACAUGGGUUUAUUUAUUCUUGGUGUAAAAUAUUCCUAGGUACAGAACUUCUCCUAUAAGUGGAACUUGGAUGUGUGUUUGUCGGCUUAAUGUUUUUAUUAUUUUAAGUAUUUUAUUAUUCGUUUGACAAAAAAAGUAUUUUAUUAAUAAUAGUAUUACUU